rnacentral:rRNA from 1 species
GAUGAACGCUGGCGGCGUGCCUAAUACAUGCAAGUCGAGCGAACGGACGAGAAGCUUGCUUCUCUGAUGUUAGCGGCGGACGGGUGAGUAACACGUGGAUAACCUACCUAUAAGACUGGGAUAACUUCGGGAAACCGGAGCUAAUACCGGAUAAUAUUUUGAACCGCAUGGUUCAAAAGUGAAAGACGGUCUUGCUGUCACUUAUAGAUGGAUCCGCGCUGCAUUAGCUAGUUGGUAAGGUAACGGCUUACCAAGGCAACGAUGCAUAGCCGACCUGAGAGGGUGAUCGGCCACACUGGAACUGAGACACGGUCCAGACUCCUACGGGAGGCAGCAGUAGGGAAUCUUCCGCAAUGGGCGAAAGCCUGACGGAGCAACGCCGCGUGAGUGAUGAAGGUCUUCGGAUCGUAAAACUCUGUUAUUAGGGAAGAACAUAUGUGUAAGUAACUGUGCACAUCUUGACGGUACCUAAUCAGAAAGCCACGGCUAACUACGUGCCAGCAGCCGCGGUAAUACGUAGGUGGCAAGCGUUAUCCGGAAUUAUUGGGCGUAAAGCGCGCGUAGGCGGUUUUUUAAGUCUGAUGUGAAAGCCCACGGCUCAACCGUGGAGGGUCAUUGGAAACUGGAAAACUUGAGUGCAGAAGAGGAAAGUGGAAUUCCAUGUGUAGCGGUGAAAUGCGCAGAGAUAUGGAGGAACACCAGUGGCGAAGGCGACUUUCUGGUCUGUAACUGACGCUGAUGUGCGAAAGCGUGGGGAUCAAACAGGAUUAGAUACCCUGGUAGUCCACGCCGUAAACGAUGAGUGCUAAGUGUUAGGGGGUUUCCGCCCCUUAGUGCUGCAGCUAACGCAUUAAGCACUCCGCCUGGGGAGUACGACCGCAAGGUUGAAACUCAAAGGAAUUGACGGGGACCCGCACAAGCGGUGGAGCAUGUGGUUUAAUUCGAAGCAACGCGAAGAACCUUACCAAAUCUUGACAUCCUUUGACAACUCUAGAGAUAGAGCUUUCCCCUUCGGGGGACAAAGUGACAGGUGGUGCAUGGUUGUCGUCAGCUCGUGUCGUGAGAUGUUGGGUUAAGUCCCGCAACGAGCGCAACCCUUAAGCUUAGUUGCCAUCAUUAAGUUGGGCACUCUAAGUUGACUGCCGGUGACAAACCGGAGGAAGGUGGGGAUGAUGUCAAAUCAUCAUGCCCCUUAUGAUUUGGGCUACACACGUGCUACAAUGGACAAUACAAAGGGCAGCGAAACCGCGAGGUCAAGCAAAUCCCAUAAAGUUGUUCUCAGUUCGGAUUGUAGUCUGCAACUCGACUACAUGAAGCUGGAAUCGCUAGUAAUCGUAGAUCAGCAUGCUACGGUGAAUACGUUCCCGGGUCU